UACGUAGGGUGCGAGCGUUGUCCGGAAUUACUGGGCGUAAAGAGCUCGUAGGCGGUUUGUUGCGUCGGCUGUGAAAUCCCGAGGCUCAACCUCGGGUCUGCAGUCGAUACGAGCAAACUAGAGUGUUGCAGGGGAGACUGGAAUUCCUGGUGUAGCGGUGAAAUGCGCAGAUAUCAGGAGGAACACCGGUGGCGAAGGCGGCUCUCUGGUCCACAACUGACGCUGAGGUGCGAAAGCUAGGGGAGCAAACGGG
rnacentral:rRNA from 1 species